UGAGGAAUAUUGGACAAUGGGUGAGAGCCUGAUCCAGCCAUCCCGCGUGCAGGAAGACGGCCCUAUGGGUUGUAAACUGCUUUUAUACAGGAAUAAACCACCUUACGCGUAGGGUGUUGAAGGUACUGUAUGAAUAAGCACCGGCUAACUCCGUGCCAGCAGCCGCGGUAAUACGGAGGGUGCAAGCGUUAUCCGGAUUUAUUGGGUUUAAAGGGUCCGCAGGCGGGCUUGUAAGUCAGGGGUGAAAUCCGGCAGCUUAACUGUCGAAUUGCCUUUGAAACUGCAGGUCUUGAGUAAGAUUGAAGUAGCUGGAAUGUGUAGUGUAGCGGUGAAAUGCAUAGAUAUUACACGGAACACCAAUAGCGUAGGCAGGUUACUAACUCUUAACUGACGCUGAGGG
rnacentral:rRNA from 1 species